GUCAGCCGCCGCGGUAACACCGGCGGCCCGAGUGGUGAUCGUGAUUAUUGGGUCUAAGGGUCCGUAGCCGGUUUGGUCAGUCCUCCGGGAAAUCUGAUAGCUCAACUAUUAGGCUUUCGGGGGAUACUGCCAGACUGGAACCGGGAGAGGUAAGAGGUACUACAGGGGUAGGAGUGAAAUCUUGUAAUCCCUGUGGGACCACCUGUGGCGAAGGCGUCUUACCAGAACGGGUUCGACGGUGAGGGACGAAAGCUGGGGGCACGAACCGGAUUAGAUACCCGGGUAGUCCCAGCCGUAAACGAUGCUCGCUAGGUGUCAGGCAUGGCGCGACCGUGUCUGGUGCCGCAGGGAAGCCGUGAAGCGAGCCACCUGGGAAGUACGGCCGCAAGGCUGAAACUUAAAGGAAUUGGCGGGGGAGCACAACAACGGGUGGAGCCCUGCGGUUUAAUUGGACUCAACGCCGGACAACUCACCGGGGGCGACAGCAAUAUGUAGGCCAAGCUGAAGACUUUGCCUGAAUCGCUGAGAAGUGGUGCAUGG
rnacentral:rRNA from 1 species